AAGUAUAUAACUUGAAGUAAUAGAAGACUAAGAAAUAGAAUGGGACCAUGGGACAAAGAGGCAGAAGGAGCCCUAGACAGAAAUCCACAUCUCCUAGCCCUGCCCAUCUUUAACACCAACUUGGAACUGAGAAUGAAGAUGCCAGAGCCUGUGGAGGAAAUUAUCAUUUAAACCACAAGAGUUCACUGCUGAAAACAACAACCAACCAAUGCAGAGUUGUGGAGCCCAGUCCUACACCUAAGACUCAGAUAAUACUUCUCAAAGAGACUGUGAAAUGAAAUUGAAUACUUUUUGGAAAAUCACACUCCAAAUACUGCCCCACUAAGUACUGUGAAGGACACAAUGCAACAGGAAAGCUAAUUCAUUUACAAUGGUAUUGCAAAUGUAAGCCAUUUAGGGGAGCAUUUUGGCAAUCUGUAAUAAAGCUUAUCAAUGUAGUCUUAACAUAUGAUCCAGUAAACAUGCCUCCUGCUAUAUAGCCAAGAUAUUAAAUAUCAUCUCCACACUAAAGCCUCAGUAUGGAUAACAGUAACAUUUUCUAAUAACUAAUGAAACCUGGGAAUAGUCUGAAUGUCUUUCAGUGGGCAAAUAGUUUAAUGAACAGUGAUUAGUCUAAACAACAGAAUUAUAUUUGGUGCUAACCCCAAUUGAGUGGCCAGGUUAUGAAAAUACAACUGACUAAUACAUGUAUAUUAUUAGAUGAAAGAUUCAAAUCUGCAGAGGUAAUAUUCUACAUGUCAUUCUGGAUAGAAAAAAAACUUGUGUAAAUGGUAAAAAGAAUCAGGGAAGUGGUAUGUGUGGGAAAAGGAGAGACAAAAAGACAGAACUUGUCGGACUUUAAAGGCAAUGCAACUAGAUGUCAUGGUACUUGAUUGAUAGAUACUAUUAACACACAAGUCACAAACUUAGGAUGGCAAUAGGUGGAUAUAAGA